GGAGCACUGUGUUCCAGAAAACCCCAAAAUAACCUGCUUUCACUGUCCGGCUGCUAUUUCUGUCCAUCUUGUUUAAUUAUUCAAACCUAAGUUGGGGAGUGAACUAUAAAAAGCUCUCCUACUUGGGGACCCAGGAGAGCUGGGAGGCUCGCCAGGUUGCAAUAGCAGCAGACCACAGUGUUUGGGUGAGGUCACUUGGUCCGGCCUCCGGCCUAAAAGUUCCUUCUGCUGUUUCGCUGCUUCCUCUGCUAGAAGGCAGAACCCAGGCCUCCCUCCCAAAGUUCCCUUGUGCCCUCACUUCAGCACCCCUCCAGCCCCUAUCCUGCCUGGGAGCUGUCCUCCACCCCACCCCACUUGACUCUGGCCAUACUUAUUCUCAGCUGUCCCUUUGCCAACCUGCUCCCUAGUUCAGGAUUCUUAACCCACAGAUAAUAUCAUUAGACCCAAACAUCAGCAGUGGAGGGAGGUGGGAUGGCAGAGGACUAGUUUAGUGGACACAGAGAUGGCACCAGGCCCUUGGGUGGCAUCACCAUCAGCUGGGGGUGGAGAACACUGUUCUGGGUGGGGCAGUUCUUGGCUGUCACGGGUGCUGAGCCUCUUCAGGAGCUUCUCUUUGGAACUCUGACAUGGUAGCCGAAGGGAUGGAGGUAAGGCAGUCCUUCUUUUCUUUUCUGGGCCUGGUCCUCUUCUAAUUGGACUAGGCUGAAGUCCAAUGUCAGUUUCCAUUGAAACAGAAGCACAGGGCAGGCUAAGUGAGAAAGGCAGGUCUCCCUGAGGGCCACUUCUGUGACCCUCCUACCACAGGCCUUUCCUAAAAAGGUAGUAACAAAGGAUUAUAGUCAUGGUGGCUCUAGCAAUGUGGGGUUGUCACAAUAAGCAGCCCUUGAGGGUGGGAAUGAGGGGAUUCUUGCUAGUGAGGGAGAGACUGGCAGUUACACAGCUUGAGCAGGAAGAAGGGCAAGAGAGACUGUGGCAGCCACAGAGACCCAGAGACCCACACAUGGACAGGAGUUAUAGGAUGGGCAGAAGGACAAGGGGCAGCAAAAGUGACACUUGAGCCCCAAGAGAGGGAGAGACCCCAGGAGCAGACCCAGAGACCCACGGCAGACAGAGGGGCAGACAGCCGAGAGCACAGAAGUGGAGUAAGAGGCCCAGUGUGGGAGGGAGACGCAGCAGCCUGGCAGAAGCUGGGGACAGGGGAGCAUGGCAGGGCUUUCCAAGAGUCAGUGUGGGACCUGAGUAUUUAAAAAAGCCUUGGGUUUCACACUCAGGCCUAUUUUGGGGCUUGUUCCCACACAUCUCCGUCAGCAGCAGUGGCAGCUCCUGCGAGGUCCAGCCCAGCUCUCCCUUUCACAGCUGCUCCUUGCGCUGCUGGGGGAGGUUGCUGAGGUAUGGGGAAGAGGUACGCUGUCGCUAAGCAACAAGAGGCUGUGCACCUGGAGGUCCUAGGAGGAGACCCUGGCACCAUCGGUAUGGGGGAGGCAGGGAGACAGUAAAGGGUUGAUCAAGCUCAAGGCUCCCUCUCCCAUCCUCCCCAAGACAGUUACAGAGGAGGGAUGUACCCAUCGCUCAAGAAGCCUGUUGAAUUGGCUCACAAUCCUCCAGAAGGCUGCGAUUGUGCAUGCAAACCUGUGUGACAUUCCAUAGACUGAGAGUUGGAGAGGGCAGGGGCUAGGGCAUGAAAGACAAGGGUGAGCAUCUUUCACAUCAAUCUUGGAGGAAGGUCGAGGACUUGCCUGUCUGCUAAAAGGUAGGAACUUCCAUGGAAGUGUAAAGGUCUGAGGGCGGAAACUUAGUAGGGAGGCGACAGAAUGGGAAGGGAAGCCGGUUGGACCCUGGGGCAGCCUCCCAGUCACAGAGGCUACCAAGGAGCCUACACAGAAGGGAGGUGGCAGGGCAGCAGGGGCCCCACACCCAUCAGCCAUCUGCUGGAAUUCUCAGUGUCCUCAAAGCUGAAGUGCUGCACUGUAUGCCGUUAUUUUUCUUCUCUUUUAUUAUUGUUUUUUGGUGGACUGGAGUUUGAAUGAGGUAACGAUCAAGAGGGAAAGACUCGUCGAUUGACCCUGUCACCCGCCUCACUGCAUCUCUAACAGGCCUGUAGCCCUGUAAACGUGAGGAGCAGCUCAGGGUUGACAGAGGGCCAUUGCCUCCCUUUUUCUGUCACUUCCUCCAUUGCCUCAACCCCUGUCCAGAAGAGCGCACCUUCAUUCAACAAGCAUGGAUCAAGCACUCGUGACGUGCCAGCCAGGGCGCUGGGGAAAUGAUGAGGGUUGGGUUCCGUGGUGGCCGACACCCAGCCCCUCCUCCACAGUGCCUGUCUCCUUGCUGGUAUCUUGGCAGGCUCCCGUUCUCCCAUCAGACGCUACACUCACACAUGCUGCACAUACUGGUGAAUAGCUUCUUGCAGUCCAUCCUGGCACGGUCCCCAAAUUCCGCAGGGAACAGGGUGUGCUUCAGCCCUCUCCCUCUCUCACUAAGGGCUAGGAAGUUUUGAGUCUUCCAUCUCACACACCCCAGAGGCUGCGUUGCCGAGAAGACACAGGGGCAAUGUGAGGCCUUCUUAUUCCUGACCCACGAGAACGAUGCCAAGUUGGGGACAAGAAGGGUAGAGGCUUGUUUUGCUUUCAUUCCUGCUUUAUGCCAGGCACUCUGAAAGGCAUUGUGUACACUAUUUUCAUCAUCAGACAAUAGCCCAUAAUACUUUGUCUGACAUCUGACAAAGAACGAUCAGCCUCAUUUUACAGAUGGUGAAACUGAAGGAGCAUGUUCAUGUUCAUACAGCACAAAGUGGCUCUGGGAUUUCAACCCAUAGAGGAGUGUUAGAAUAAUACCCUCACAAAUUCAAUGUUGAAAGUGCUAAUGAAGUCCGGGCGCGGUGCCUCAUGCCUGUAAUCCCAGCACUUUGGGAGGCCAAGGCGGGCAGAUCACCUGAGGUCAAGAGUUUGAGACCAGCCUGACCAACAUGGAGAAACCCCGUCUCUACUAAAAAUACAAAAUUAUCCGGGCGUGGUAGCACAUGCCUGUAGUCCCAGCUACUUGGGAGGCUGAGGCAGGAGAAUUGCUUGAACUUGGGAGGUGGAGGUUGCAGUGAGCUGAGAUUGCGCCACUGCACUCCAGCCUGGGCGACAGAGCGAGACUCCAUCUCAAAAAAUAAAUAAAUAAAUAAUAAAUAAAUAAAAUAAAAAAAGUGCUAAUGAGACAGAAAAGGGCACUGAAAGAUCCGGUCACCCAGGGACCUCUCAAUUGCUCAGAUUUGGAGAAGGUGGGGAGAGAAGAUUGCGUCAAACAGACCUGAGAUCCGAUCCCAGCUCAGUCAUUUCCAGCUGUGUGACCUUGGCAAUGGAUGGCGCCUCUCCUUCCAUCCUCUACAGAAGGAGGAAGAGACAGAUGUUUAAAGUGGAAAUAAGAGAAUUGGAGUUCUGAAAAUGUGAGAAUCAAAUCUACAGCCCCAUUUGUUCAGUGACUUCCUAUCUCCACCCCGUGAAGUUCACCAGAGGCACCGAGGGAACUUGCCCAGAUGGUUGUGGUGGCAUUGUCCCUGGUGUGUGAGGAAUUUUGGAGAAUACAAGAGGUGUAAAACUACUGUAGAUGAAAAUAGGAGGUUCUAAUCUUUAAGAAGAGGGAAAGAUAUUUUCAAAAUUCUGGGGUUUCAUUACCACAACUGUUGUGGAAGGUUAGAGAAAAAAAGAGGGACCAUCAGGAGCUAGAUGGGGUUCACUAAUUAAUCCCCGACUACUCAAGUGAGAAUGGGCAUCACCUGGGAGACUGUCAGAACGUCAAGAGGAUCCCACUCCACUCCGCACCUGUGAAUCACAGUUUGCACUUAACAAGAGGCAUAGAUGAGUCAAAUGUACAUUCAAGACCAAGAUGCACACCAUAACCUGUUCGUUUUUGUUUGUUUGUUUGUUUGUUUUUGAGACGGUCUUGCUCUGUCACCCAGGCUGGAGUGCAAUGGCGCGAUCUCAGCUCACUGCAACCUCUGUCUCCCGGGUUCAAGCGAUUGUCCUGCCUCCACUUCGUGAGUAACUGGAAUUACAGGGGUGCAUCACCAUGCCUGGCUAAUUUUUGUAUUUUUAGUAGAGACAAGAUUUCACCAUGUUGAGGCUAGUCCCGAACUCCUGAGCUCGUGAUCUGCCCUCCUCAGCCUCCCAAAGGGCUGGGAUUACAGGUGUGAGCCACUGUGCCCAGCCCGUAACCUGUUCUUCAACCCUAUAAGUAGGUGAGUGAUUGUAAAGGUGCCAUGGAAAGCUAAAAGUUCCUUCAGGAACCUCUUCCUCCAGGAGAGGAUUGGAGGGGCACUGUGCAGGGCGGGGUUCUGCCUCCUUUGCCCCAUGGUUUCGUUCACUUGUUUUACACAGUGGGCUUCCAACUAAACUUUCCUUUGAAGAGCCGGGCCACAGCCAAAGAUGUUUGAAAAUCGUCUGUGCUGUGUUAUGGAACAUCUGUGCUAUGGAAUGUUGCACAGCCUUACGAGGCAUGAACUGGAUCUGGGCCCACUGACAGAAUGGUCCCAGAGACAAAUUGUUUAGUGAAAAAAGCAAGUCUCAGGCCGGGCAUGGUGGCUCACAUCUGUAAUCCCAGUGCUUUGGGAGGCCAAGGCGGGCAGGUCACCUGAAGUCAGGAGUUCGAGACGAGCCUGGCCAACAUGGUGAAACCCUGUCUCUACUAAAAAUACAAAAAUUAGUUGAGUGUGGUGGCAGGUGCCUCUAAUUCCAGCUACUUGGAUGGCUGAGACACAAGAAUCGCUUGAACCAGGAAGGUGGAGGUUGCAGUGAGCCGAGAUCACACCACUGCACUCUAGCCUGGGUGACAGAGUGAGACUCCAUCUCAAAAAAAAAAAAAAAGAAAAAAAAGAAAGAAAGCAAAAAGCAAAAAGCAGCCGCCAGGCACAGUGGCUCACGCCUAUAAUCUCAGCACUUUGGGAGGUCAAGUCGGGUGGAUUACCUGAGGUCGGAAGUUCAAGACCAGCCCAACCAACAUGGAGAAACCCCGUUUCUACUAAAAAUACAAAAUUAGGACCGGGCGUGGUGGUUCACGC
rnacentral:lncRNA from 1 species